UUCUGUAUUAUAUUUUACUGAUGACUUCAUCAGAAUUCAUCCCAUUAUAUUAUUGUGCAUGUUUGAACUUGAUCGCCGGGAAACAAACGUGUGCACAGCUGAUUGCUAUUUCCGGCUCAAAUACACACGGUAAUCUUAAUCCCUG